GUGUCCUGUUGUUCUGCAUUGUGAAAUUUGUUCCCCAAUUCCAGACAUUCGGAACGAAGAUGGCACAAUCAACCGGCGCGCUCUUGGCAGAAAGGUCUUUGGGAAUAAGGAAAAGCUGAAAUGCCUGACAGACAUUGUGUGGCCUGAGAUCGCUCUCCUAGUCAAGAAACAAAUCAGAGAUGCUGGAGAGAAGGGUGAGACGGUGUGCGUGGUCGACGCUGCGGUGCUGCUGGAGGCUGGCUGGACAGACCUGGUGCAUGAGGUGUGGGUCACCAUCAUCCCAGAGGAGGAGGCUGUCGCCCGCAUCACGCGGCGGGACGGGGCUAGCGAGGAGGAUGCGCGGAGGAGGCUGGCGAGCCAGUGGACCAACGCCCAGCAGGUGGAGCGCGCGAACGUGGUGCUGUGCACACUGUGGGAGCCAGAGGUGACGCAGAGACAGGUGCAGAAAGCCUGGGAUCUUCUCCAAGAGAGAAUAAGCCAAAGGAGGAGAAAUCUCAGCUCCUCUUUAUAAGCAGCACAAAGUCGAACCACCAAACUGAGACACAGACCGAGAGAUUGUGUCAUGCUGGGCCAGUAUUAGCCCUGAUUCUUCCAACACAGUGCCUGUAAUGUAAAUCAGAAGCUGAGUAUUUUUGGUAAUAUGCAGUAUUUAUUAAUGUUACAGCUGCAACGAGAGAGUGCAUUGUACAGAAGACUAAUCCCCACGUCAGACCAGAGAAUUGGUACAUCCGAUGCUGGAAGACUUUGUCAGAUUGUAUUUUAACUAUUUAAUCCUCUUCUAAAACCCUGCUUUUCAAAUGAUGCAUAUUAACAUAAGUAAAAAUUCAAUAUCAUGUAUAGUGAUUUUGAAGUGACGCAAGUCAAAUUCACUUCAUUGCAUUACUGAAGACCAAAAUGUAUAGAUUUAUUUUUAAUGUUCAAGGUAUCAGACCUUAGAGGCAUUUUUGUUGAUUUUGUUUUAAAUUGGAGGACAAAGUUUGAGGCUGAAAAUGUAACAGAAUCAGGAUUGUGAUUUCCAGCUGUACGAGUUCUGAAAACGUUCAAAAUAAAGUCGAAAACGAGGGGAAAGCGA